GCGUUCGGUAGUUUAACGGUGAGAACAUGCCCUGUUUCGGGUAAGACCUGGGUUCGACUCCUGGCUGACGCA